rnacentral:piRNA from 1 species
UAUGGUGGGUAUGUGAAGGAUAGACAUAU